CCUGUUGUCCGCGUACUUGCGUACGUGUGUAUCUGCGCGCGUUGACUCGUGUCCUCUUCGCACCUCCUGCUGGUUUGCCGCUCUCACCCGUAAGCGUGAAUCAGUCUUCACAAGGCGCUUAGAGUUUCUUUUCUUUCGUGGAGGUGGUGGUCGCCAAGUGUGUGAGCUGAUCGGUGCGCGAGGCGUGCGUGUGCCGAGUGCAUCCUGUCCCCGACCCCCGCCUCUGGCUCCUCCGGUGCUACGCCUGAGUCUUCCCUGGCCCAGCCAGCACGGUGCCCGUCGUUGAAAGAGUGUGCCAAGACACACCUCGCCCCCUCGGUUUGUGCGCGGUCUGUCACACUGGUGCUGUUCGACCGCUGUUGUGCGGCUCGUAGGACAGGGUUGUGCGAACUACGCCUCCCUCGUUCUCUUCGCAUAGGAAAGACAUUGUAGACAUCGGUGCAUACAUUGGGGGGGGCAUCCACAGCGCGCAGGGCAUGGCGACACCAGACUUUGUACGUUUAUCACCGACUGACGAGUCCAGCGAGCUCAUAAUCCAUGCUCCCUCGCAGCGGUGCCACACCCGAUGUGGCGCAGAAAACGGUCAUACCACCAGCAUCAUUACUGAUUUGGAGGCGGUGGACGAUGUUGCGCAGGUGCGCUGCCAGCAGCAGGCGCAGCGCGAGUUCGCGGAGCAGCUGGACGAGCUGUGGGGCAGCGAGCCCACCUACACGCCGACGGUAGAGGACCAAGCGAGCUGGCUGCAGCAGCUGCACUACGGAUGGAUCGGGGACUACAUCUACAAGGCUGCGACGGGGAGCAUUACCGAGGCGGACCUGCCACCGCCGUCGCGGAGCACACGGACCUACCACACGGGGCGCAAGCUGUCGCGGCAGGCGCAUGCCGACAUCGACGCAAGCCGGCGGUGGGACGGGUAUGUCGGGUGCGAGGUCAUGUACGAGGCGGAGGCGGAAACCAGCGGCGCGCUGCGGUGGGUCGGGUAUUUGCAGCAGUCGGACUACCCGCGAUCGCUGGUAGCUGGGGUGGAGUGGCGUGUGCCGCCGCGGUACCGGCGGCAGGCCACGCCGGGCAGCGCGGCGGGGCUUCACAACGGCGUCGUGCACGGUGAGCGGCUGUUUCGGCCAUACGAAGACAACUAUCUCUGCUCGUGCGAACCGGUUGAACGGCUUUACCUAAGCUCGACGUGCAGUCUGAUGCGUCCCGGGCCGCCGCCGUCGCCGGAUCUCCUGUUUACACUGUUCAAGGCGCACUCGUACCACGUGUGGGCGCAGAUCCUGCCGAAGCUGCUGGCAGACGUUACCGCGCUGAUGCUGCCGGUGUUGUUGGAGUACUUUGUGAAGUAUUUGGACGCCGACAACGCGACGUGGGGCUGGGGUCUGGGACUUGUGCUGACACUCUUCCUCACGAACGUGAUCCAGAGCUGCGCAGCGCACAAGUACGACCACAUCAGCAUCCGCAGCGCGGCGCUGUUUGAGACGUCGUCGAUGGCGCUGCUGUUCGAGAAGUGCUUCACAGUUUCGCAGCGGUCGCUGCAGCGCCCAGACAUGUCCGUGGGUCGCAUCAUGAACAUGGUCGGGAAUGACGUUGAUAACAUCGGUAGUCUCAACUGGUACGUGAUGUAUUUUUGGAGCGCCCCGCUGCAACUGACACUGUGCAUGCUGCUGCUGAUAAGGCUGGUCGGGUGGUUCGCGCUGCCCGGCAUGGCCGUCUUGUUGGUGACGCUCCCGUUACAAGGUGCCAUUUCUAAGCAUGUUCAGGAGGUGUCUGAGCGAAUGGCGAGCGUGGUGGACCUGCGUAUCAAGCGCACGAGCGAGCUGCUCUCCGGUGCCCGAAUCGUGAAAUUCAUGGGGUGGGAACCUGUCUUCCUCGCCCGGAUCGAAGACGCGCGCAGACGCGAGCUGCAGUGUCUGCGCGAUGUGCAUCUCGCCAAUGUCAUCUUCAUGUUCGUGAACGACGCGACGCCGACGUUGGUCGUCGCUGUAGUCUUUAUCUUGUACCAUGCGAGUGGGCAGGCGCUGAGACCGGAGAUUGUGUUUCCGACGAUUGCACUGCUAAACACGAUGCGCGUGUCGUUCUUUAUGAUCCCGCUUAUCGUCUCCGCCAUCCUGCAGUGUUUGGUGUCCACAAAGCGGGUCACCACUUUUGUGGAGUGCCCUGACACGCGCUCACAGGUGCGGGACAUUGCUGGCAUCGACGCAGCUGGUGCCGCGGCCAUCUUCAAGGAUGUGUCCAUCCACACCUAUCUGCCGGCGAAACUGCCCCAGUGCAAGUCGCGCUUGACGACCAUGCAGCGCAUUACGCUGUGGUUCCGCCGGCGCGGUGUGCCGGAGGCGGAGUGGUACGAGCUGGACGGCCCGGAUGCGGGUGCGUCUUCGCCGACGGUGCACCUUCCAACGCUCGACAUGGGCAGCGCACAGACUGCCAGUGCGGAUGGUGACGGCGCUUCCACUGGCGGCGGGGACGAGGAGGGGGGCGUGGAAGAGAGAGUCGCACAGUACUACCAACUUGUGCCGAAGGAGCUGCUGCGGAACGUCAACCUCGUUAUCCCUCAGUUCAAGUUGACGAUGGUGAUUGGCGCGACCGGGAGCGGGAAGUCGACGCUGCUGGGCUCUCUGAUGGGCGAGUACGACGUGCAGAGUGGCGAGGUGUGGGCGGAGCGGAGCAUCGCGUACGUGCCGCAGCAGGCGUGGAUCAUGAACGCGACGGUGCGCGACAACAUCCUGUUCUUCGACGAGGAGCGCGCCGCAGACUUGCAGGACGUAAUCCGUUGCUGCCAGCUGGAGGCGGACCUUGCGCAGCUUGGCGGGGAGCUGGAGACGGAGAUCGGGGAAAUGGGCGUGAACCUGAGCGGCGGGCAGAAGGCGCGCGUGAGCCUUGCGCGCGCCGUGUACGCGAACCGCGACGUGUACCUGCUGGACGACCCCCUGUCCGCGCUGGACGCGCACGUUGGCCAACGCGUCGUGCAAGACGUCAUCCGCGGACGACUGCACGGCAAGACGCGCGUGCUUGCGACGCACCAGAUUCAUCUGCUGCCGCUCGCGGACCACAUUGUGGUGUUGCAACGCGGCCGCAUCGCAUUCGCGGGCGAUUACGCUGCCUUUGCGGCGACUUCGCUGGAGGAGACGCUGCGCGGUGAGCUAAAGGAGAACAAGGACGCGGAGUCUCGCGGCAGCGAUGCGGACGCGGAAGCGGCCAGAGCGGAGACGGCACCUGACAUUGCGGAAGCGCAUGAGCCGAAAGUUGAGCAGGAGACGAGCCUUGCAGGAGGCGAAGACCCCUUGAGGUCCGAUGUCGAGGCCGGUAGGCUGAUGACCAGGGAGGAGAAGGCAACCGGUCAGGUACCGUGGUCAACCUACGUGGCGUAUCUGAGGUCGUGUGGCGGUCUGGCUGCUUGGGGAUUCCUGCUAGCCACCUUUGCGGUGACAGAGAGCGUGACUGCGGCCAACGGCGUGUGGUUGUCGAUAUGGUCAACAGGCUCGCUUAGGUGUAGCGCGGCCACGUACCUGUACGUCUAUCUUUUCAUUGUUUUCCUCAACAUCUUUAACUCCCCGCUGCGGUGUUUCUUAUGCUAUUACCUUAUGCGAAUGGGUAGCCGCAACUUGCAUCGCGACCUCCUGGAGUCCAUCGGCGUUGCGCGGAUGUCCUUCUUCGACACGACGCCCUUGGGACGCGUGCUGAACCGGUUCACAAAGGACAUGGGCAUCCUUGAUAACACGCUGAACGACAGCUACCUUUACCUGCUGCAGUACUUCUUUUCCAUGUGCUCCAAGGUUAUUAUUCUGUCGGCCGCGCAGCCGUUUGUGCUUGUGACCAUUGUGCCGUGUGUGUUCAUCUACUACAAGCUGAUGCAGAUCUACAGCGCGUCGAACCGCGAGACACGCCGCAUCAAGAGCAUCGCGCACUCGCCCGUGUUCACGCUGCUGGAGGAGUCGCUGCAAGGGCAGCGCACCAUCGCGACGUACGGCAAGAUGCACCUCGUACUGCAGGAAGCACUGAGGCGGCUCGAUGUAGUCUACAGCGCGCUGUACAUGCAGAACGUCUCCAACCGCUGGCUCGGUGUCCGCCUCGAGUUUGUGAGCUGUGUUAUCACUUUCGUGGUGGCCCUCAUUGGUGUGAUUGGGAAAAUGGAGCGGGCUUCGAGUCAGAGCAUCGGUCUCAUCUCGCUGUCACUGACGAUGGCGAUCACGCUGACGGAAACGCUCAAUUGGCUGGUGCGGCAGGUUGCGACGGUGGAGGCAAACAUGAACAGCGUGGAGCGUGUGAUGUAUUACACCCACGAAGUGGAGCACGAGUACGUGCCGGAGAUGAAGGAGUUAGUGGCACAGCUGGUAGGGAGCGAGUCAGGGACAGCGGCGGAAGUGACGGGGACGGUUGUGAUCGAGCCUGCGAGCCCGACGAGCGCCGCGCCGCACACCGUGCAGGCCGGGUCGCUUGUGUUCGAGGGCGUGCAGAUGCGGUACCGCGAGGGGCUGCCGCUUGUGCUGCGCGGCGUGAGCUUCCGGAUCGCGCCGCGCGAGAAGGUCGGCAUUGUUGGGCGGACGGGGAGCGGGAAGUCGACGCUGCUGCUGACGUUCAUGCGGAUUGUGGAGGUGUGCGGCGGGGAGAUCCGCGUGAACGGGCGCGAGAUCGGUGCGUACGGGCUGCGCGAGCUGCGGCGGCAGUUCUCGAUGAUCCCGCAGGACCCUGUGCUGUUCGACGGGACGGUGCGGCAGAACGUGGACCCGUUCCUGGAGGCGUCGUCCGCGGAGGUGUGGGCUGCGCUGGAGCUUGUAGGGCUGCGCGAGCGCGUUGCGUCGGAGAGCGAGGGGAUCGACAGCCGCGUGCUGGAGGGCGGGUCGAACUACAGCGUUGGGCAGCGGCAGCUGAUGUGCAUGGCGCGCGCGCUGCUGAAGAAGGGGAGCGGGUUCAUCCUGAUGGACGAGGCGACGGCGAACAUCGACCCCGCGCUUGACCGGCAGAUCCAGGCGACAGUGAUGAGCGCGUUCUCGGCGUACACGGUGAUCACGAUCGCGCACCGGCUGCACACUGUCGCGCAGUACGACAAGAUCAUCGUGAUGGACCACGGUGCUGUUGCGGAGAUGGGCAGCCCGCGCGAGCUUGUGAUGAACCGCCAGUCCAUAUUCCACAGCAUGGUGGAGGCACUGGGCCGCCGUGGUGCCAAAGACUUCGUCGAUCUCGUCGGCUGACGUCGCACGAGUCUGUGCAGCAGCCCGUGCGCACCAAUGAAAGACUCCGUCGCAACCUGCCGAUCUCAAAGCAGAAGCCGCUCGUCGUACGCCACCCCGCAUGCACGUGCAGGAGAACGAAGUGCUCCACAUGCCGUGUACCAAUCUUGCCUUUGUCUUCUCCUAUUCACGGCAGCGCGCUUGCAUUUGCGCGAUGGCGGUGCGUCGUCGGUACCCGCGGACUAGGCGCCACAGCGGCCAUAUGCUAGUUCAUUGAAUAGCACCUUACAUCCUUACCGUUUCUGAGUGAAAUCUGUAUGCAUGUGGAACACAAAG
rnacentral:misc_RNA from 1 species